rnacentral:rRNA from 1 species
AUUGAACGCUGGCGGCAGGCCUAACACAUGCAAGUCGAACGAGUGGCGGACGGGUGAGUAAUGUCUGGGAAACUGCCUGAUGGAGGGGGCUACCUACUGGAAACGGUAGCUAAUACCGCAUACCAUCAGAUGUGCCCAGGUGGGAUUAGCUAGUUGGUGUGGUAACGGCUAACCAAGGCGCCGAUCCCUAGCUGGUCUGAGAGGAUGACCAGCCACACUGGAACUGCGACACGGUCCAGACGCCUACGGGAGGCAGCAGUGGGGAAGAUUGCACAAUGGUCGAAAGCCGGAUGCAGCCAUGCCGCGUGUAUGAAGAAGGCCUUCGGGUUGUAAAGUACUUUCAGCGGGGAGGCGUUACCCGCAGAAGAAGCACCGGCUAAAUCCGUGCCAGCAGCCGCGGUAAUUC